rnacentral:lncRNA from 10 species
AUAGCCACAGGGUUCUUUAGAGGCCACUUUCUUCAAGUCUCUAAUUUUGCAUAUGAGAAACACUAAGACUCAGCAGAUAAGGAUGGAGGCGACUCAACAUCACACUGAGACAGGUCAUCUGGGACCCAUGGUUUCUAACUUCUAGACCGAAUCUCUUUCUUUCGAAUGUCCAGAUCAUCUCUCCUUCUUCUAAAAACCAAAGAGGCCUCUGCAUGCCUCUCCCUGGAUAUGAGCCCUGCAUUUCUGAAUGCCUUGAAAGAAAAACCAGCAAGUUGGGAGGGCCGUGUCUCCUUAUCAUCUUCCAGGAAUUCAAAACCGUGAUUUCCAGUUUCCAAAUGCAACUCAAGCUCCAUCACCCUGUACAUCUUGCACGGUUUCUCCAGCAUAUCCUGAUCGCCACCUCCAGACCCUUCUGAUAGAUUCAUUACCUGAAUCUAUUUGAAUGGACUAACACACUGACCAUGGAACAUAGACAGAUGUGAGAAGAUCCAGAAAAGAUGCAGCUCAAUUAAUUAGAAAGGCCUCUGGAAUGGGCACAAGCCAGAUCCUGAACUCCUGCUCUCCCUUGGCUCAACCUCAUCACAGCCAGAAAGGAUGAGAGCUCUUUAAUGAAGUGCAUACAUGUCAGUUUCCCAGGACACAAACCAAAGU